rnacentral:rRNA from 1 species
CAGCCGCCGCGGGAAAACGGAGGGGGCUAGCGUUGUUCGGAAUUACUGGGCGUAAAGCGCACGUAGGCGGCUUGGUAAGUUAGAGGUGAAAGCCUGGAGCUCAACUCCAGAAUUGCCUUUAAGACUGCCGAGCUAGCAGGUGAGAGAGGUAAGUGGAAUUCCGAGUGUAGAGGUGAAAUUCGUAGAUAUUCGGAAGAACACCAGUGGCGAAGGCGGCUUACUGGCUCAUACUGGACGCUGAGGUGCGAAAGCGUGGGGAGCAAACAGGAUUAGAUACCCCCGUAGUCCCUGUCUCUUAUAC